rnacentral:tRNA from 1 species
GGCUCGGUAGCUUAGUUGGUAAAGCGCUCGUCUAGCGCUAGCAUACAAGAGUCUUGGGUUCAAAUCCCAGCCGAGCAC